AAAAAACGAGAGAGGAGAGAAUUGUUUAAAAAAACAGAGAGAGUUUGUUUUGUCAUUUUUAUUUUCUUUCUUCAAUGCCUUUCACGUACUAUCUUCAUUGUCAUACUAUCUUUUAAAGCUAAAAUUAAAAAUUUCUUACUGAGAUUCCAAAGCAUACACCAUAACCGUGAGGGUGUAAAGAAGAAAGUUUGAUAAUCAGAAAAUUCACCAUUUCCUCCAAAGGAAUUCCCAAAAGAUUUUCCACAGGAGAAAAUAGAGCAGCAAACAAAUUUUUGGUGGAUGAUCUCCAAGGCCUAUUCAGUUUAUAUUUUUUCUGUUAAUUUGAGUGUUUUGUGAGGUUUUUUAUUUUUAUUUUUUAUUUUGUUGUAAUUUUUUUCCUCUCUCUCACUCGGAUUUGUAAUAUUUAAAAUGUUGUAAUAA